AGUGGCGAACGGGUGAGUAACACGUGAGUAACCUGCCCCUGACUCUGGGAUAAGCGUUGGAAACGACGUCUAAUACUGGAUAUGAUCACUGGUCGCAUGGCCUGGUGGUGGAAAGAUUUUUGGUUGGGGAUGGACUCGCGGCCUAUCAGCUUGUUGGUGAGGUAAUGGCUCACCAAGGCGACGACGGGUAGCCGGCCUGAGAGGGUGACCGGCCACACUGGGACUGAGACACGGCCCAGACUCC
rnacentral:rRNA from 1 species